rnacentral:rRNA from 1 species
GUGAGGGAAAGGUGAAAAGAACCCCGGGAGGGGAGUGAAAGAGAACCUGAAACUCUAUGCCUACAGUUAGUCAGAGCGCAUUAAAGCGUGAUGGCUUGCCUUUUGCAGAAUGAACCGGAGAGUUAUGUUAACUAGCAAGGUUAAGCUUAUAGGAGCGGAGCCGCAGCGAAAGCGAGUCUUAAUAGGGCGAAUUAGUUAGUUGAUAUAGACCCGAAACUGGGUGAGCUAGCCAUGGGCAGGUUGAAGUUUAGGUAAAACUAAAUGGAGGACCGAACCGAAGUACGUUGAAAAGUGCUCGGAUGACCUGUGGUUAGGGGUGAAAAGCCAAUCGAACCCAGAUAUAGCUGGUUCUCGCCGAAAUAGCUUUAGGGCUAGCGUUAACAAAGUAUUUUAUGAAGGUAGAGCACUGAAUGUGUGAUGGCCCCACCUCGGGGUACUGAUCCCAAUUAAACUUCGAAUGUCAUAAAAGUAAAGUUAGCAGUCAGACUGUGGGUGAUAAGGUCCAUAGUCGAGAGGGAAACAGCCCAGACCGCCAGUUAAGGUCCCCAAAUUGAUGUUAAGUGGAAAAGGAAGUGGAGAUGCACAGACAACUAGGAGGUUGGCUUAGAAGCAGCCAUCCUUUAAAGAGUGCGUAAUAGCUCACUAGUCGAGUGAAUCUGCGCCGAAAAUGUACCGGGGCUAAACAUCAUACCGAAACUGCGGAUUUGAAACUAGAUUUCAAGUGGUAGGCGAGCGUUCUAAGUGCGAAGAAGGUAGACCGAGAGGACUAUUGGAGCGCUUAGAAGUGAGAAUUCCGGUGUAAGUAACGAAAAGACAGGUGAGAAUCCUGUCCGUCGAAAACCUAAGGUUUCCAGGGGAAGGUUCGUCCGCCCUGGGUAAGUCGGGCCCUAAGGUGAGGCUGAAAAGCGUAGCCGAUGGAUAUCAGGUAGAAAUUCCUGAACUAGUAAUUAAACUGAUGGAGCAACAGAGGAGGAUAACAUUCGCCCCUUAGUGGAUUGGGGUCGAAAAUACGAGGCUGUAAUAUAGGAAAAUCCGUAUUACGUGAAGGUUGAGUAUUAAUAGGUAAAGAAUGAUGAUUUCAAACUCUCAAGAAAAACUUCUAGGGUUAAUUUAAUUACUACCCGUACCGUAAACCGACACAGGUAGGUAGGUAGAGAAUACUAAGACGCGCGAGAAAACUCUUGUUAAGGAACUCGGCAAAAUGACCCCGUAACUUAGGGAAAAGGGGAGCUCUUUAUGAAAACGAAGAGCCGCAGAGAAUAGGCCCAAGCGACUGUUUAUCAAAAACACAGGUCUCUGCAAAACCGCAAGGUGAAGUAUAGGGGCUGACGCCUGCCCGGUGCUGGAAGAUUAAGAGGAGAUGUUAGGAAACGAAGCAUUGAAUUGAAGUCCCAGUAAACGGCGGCCGUAACUAUAACGGUCCUAAGGUAGCGAAAUUCCUAGUCGGGUAAAUUCCGACCCGCACGAAAGGCGUAACGAUUUGGGCACUGUCUCAACAAGAGACUCGGUGAAAUCAAGCUGCCGGUGAGAACGCCGGCCACCCGCGACAGGACGAAAAGACCCCGUGGAGCUUUACUGUAACUUGAUAUUGAUAUUGGGUACAGAAUGUACAGGAUAGGUGGGAGACUUAGAAGCUGGAACGCUAGUUUCGGUGGAGUCGCCCUUAGGAUACCACCCUUUCUGUAUUUGAUAUCUAACCCGCCUGAGUGGAUCAGGGGGGACAGUGUCUGGUGGGCAGUUUGGCUGGGGCGGUCGCCUCCUAAAAAGUAACGGAGGCGCCCGAAGGUUCCCUCAGAAUGGUCGGAAAUCAUUCAUAGAGUGUAAAGGCAAAAGGGAGCUUAACUGCGAGACCAACAAGUCGAGCAGGUACGAAAGUAGGGCUUAGUGAUCUUACGGUUCCGCAUGGAAGGGCCGUGACUCAACGGAUAAAAGCUACCCCGGGGAUAACAGGCUUAUCGCAUCCAAGCGUUCACAGCGACGAUGCGGUUUGGCAC